UACGGGAUAAUAUAUUUGAGAGGCAUCUCUUAAAUAUCAAAGGUGAGCCAGUACAGGAUGGACCCGCGUCUGAUUAGUUAGUUGGUAAGGUAACGGCUUACCAAGGCGACGAUCAGUAGCCGACCUGCGAGGGUGAUCGGCCACAUUGGAACUGAGACACGGUCCAAACUCCUACGGGAGGCAGCAGUGGGGAAUAUUGCACAAU
rnacentral:rRNA from 1 species